AUAAAGGAGAGUGCAAAGAAGAAUUAGUUGGCACUCUGAGAAGAUUUGGAUUCUAACACAAGAGAGAGAUUUUAAUCUAAUUGAAAACUAAUUGUGUUGCUCAGUGCAAAUCAGAAGAUCCCUCAAUCACAAGACUGGCAUGUAAUGAAAUGAAAUAUAUACAGACACUGCCAGGCCUGAACAUCAUUUGCUCUGUUUUUAUGUAAACGUAGGCCACUUUCAGAAACAGUUCAGCUUUUGGAAGGACCACAUCAGGCUCAGGAAUGCAAACAUUUGAAGAAAUGGUUGACCAGACUUAGGUGGUGUUAUCUGACCUCAGCUGGAAGGAAGUGAGGAGGAGAAUGAAUCAGGGGAGUUACUCUCGAUUGCAAGAAAACAUGCAGAUGUGAAGACUGAGUUAAGAUGGGAUCAAGCUCAGGGCGGUCUCCAGGUCACAAAACGGGUUCCGGUCUGGAGUUUGUUCGCAAGUUGGAACAUAAUACAGGACACUGGAAAGCAGCUAUUCAUUUCCAGCAUCCACAGUGUUUUGCUUUUAGUUAUACACAUCUGUUGGACUUCAAUAUUACAGGACUCCAGUAAUGUUUCAUGAAUCACAGAAAACAACCAAAAUGAUAAACUAAUUUCAAUAGCAGAAGAUUCACAUGCAAACUUGGGUUGAAAAAAUCUAAAACAUAAGUCAUGAAACAUUUUUAUAGCAACUUCUAGCAUUUGAAACAUUUUAAUUUUUGAAGAGAAGGUUGCGGUUACAGAAGUUGGAGAACAGGUGCUUCCUGAGACAAGGGAGAGCUUGUUGUAAUUCUAUCAUGAUUACUAAAUCAGUCCUGAUAUGCUUCAAAAGUAGCAGCCUCCAUGCAUAACCACACAUGACCUGCUGGUAAAUUCUUCAACAGAAAUGAUGGCAUUAAUUUAAAACUGACAUCUUUUUCAAAAAGAAAAUGUAAACAAUUGUUAUUUUAGGCAACAGAUUUUCAAGGUUGUAUUUUUUGUCAUGAGUACUUGGUCUUCAAGACAUUCAGCCAGCAAUGGUAACUAGCCCCACAUUCCUUAACAAAAUAUAUCAUCACCAUGUGGCAGGCAGAUUUAAUCAGAUGGCAACUUGCAGACACAUUGUAAUGAACAUUCAGAUGACAUAAUCUUACUACGGACCAAAAUACCUACAAAUCUUAAAAUGAAUUUUCUUGGGUCAGAAUCUUAUAGGAGUCUAAGCAAUAUGGGCUGUUGAGAGAUACAUGGCUGAAUAAGGAGAUUAGCGUAGCAACGCACAUUUGGCAUUGAGAUCAGCUUGAUCCAUUAUUUAGAUCUUUUCAAAUGAUGUUAUUACUCACCAAAAAUCAUAAAGAGCAGCUCCAUACGGAUAACACUUGCCUGAGAGCACAACAAACCUUUAAAGAUGGUGUAGGUUCAAGGGUUGCCUGAUUUUCAGCAGAUAGCCUGAGUAGCGAGAUGGGGUGGAAAUUAGGCAUGGUAGGCAAUUUAUUAAAAGUAAAACUGGUAGGCCUUGCAGGGAAGAACACUGCAAAAAAUGCAACCUGAACUCAACCAGAAAAGGAAAAAAAAAAUUCAGCCCUUGAUGCGACACAGUUUAAAUAUUUCAUGGAGUAACUUAGUAAAGUGGAAGAUGUUUAUUCUAUCAAAAACACCAGAUAUAAAAUUUAUAAUCCAUGAAGGAAAAGGACGUAAAUUUAAAUUCUAGGGAUUUACUUAACCAUUGGGGCAUGGUUACCAGAAAAAAAAACUUUGAAUGAUCUCAGAACAAAACAAAUGUACAAUAAACUGUAUGUGGUGUAUGCAAGAAAUAGUUCAAAUGUUUUCUUGUAAAAUGAUUGCUUUAAAUUAGACAAAAUAACCCACAAUAGCAUGAAUAGGUGUUUCAGAAAGUUACAGAUAUAGAGAUGUAGAUCAUGGAAACAUACUCUUCGGUCCAACCCGUCCAUGCCGACCAGAUAUCCUAACCUAAUCUAGUCCCAUUUGCCAGCAUUUGGU